rnacentral:rRNA from 1 species
UUAGAAGCAGCCAUUCAUUUAAAGAGUGCGUAACAGCUCACUAGUCAAGAGAUCUUGCGUGGAAAAUGUAACGGGGCUAAAACGUUAUACCGAAGAUAUGGAUUACACGCUAAGUACAAAGUUAAAGUUGUGUUACAAUCAAUUUAUGGAAAAUGAGAUUUAUAUAGGUAGCGUUUAUAAACACUAUAAAGGCAAUAAGUAUGUUGUUGUAAGUAUAGCUGUUCAUACUGAGACGCUUGAAGAGCUUGUAGUUUAUCGAGCCAUUUAUGGCGACGGAGAGCUGUGGGCUAGACCUAAGAAAAUGUUUUUAGAUAAUAUUGAAAAGAACGGAAAGAUCAUUCCAAGGUUUAAAUUGAUUAAAAAACUUUGAUUUUGUUCUUAGUGUGUAGUGGUAGAGGAGCGUUCCUAUCAGCAGUGAAGUCGAAUCGGAAGGUUCGGUGGAGCGGUAGGAAGUGAGAAUGCUGGAAUGAGUAACCAUAAGAGAGGUGAGAAUCCUCUCGGCCGUAAGAGCAAGGUUUCCUGAGCCAUGGUAAUCAUCUCAGGGUUAGUCGGGCCUAAGCCGAGGCGCAGAGCGUAGGCGAUGGACAUCAGGUUAAUAUUCCUGAACCGGUUAAGUUUUGUACACUGUUCACGGGGAAGUAAUCGAAGCGGAUUCAUGGUUUAUCCGUCCAACCGAGCGGGAACGCAAAGGGAGUGAAAGUGAUUCUUCGGAGUCGCGAUUUUGGUGAAAGCCCUGGCUAGAAAAGCAGGUGUACGCGUGGACUUAGCCGCCCGUACCGCAAACCAACACAGGUGCUCGAGUCGAGUAGACUCAGGCUUACGAGCGAACCUUCGCUAAGGAACUCGGCAAUACAGCGACCGUAACUUCGGGAUAAGGUCUGCCCCCACUUCGGUGGAUAUCAGCCGCGUUCACUCAGUGAAUAUUAGGUUAAAGAGUACAUUUUUAAUCACAAAACGAAUUUUCUGAGAUAGAGCAAACGAAUUGUUCUUUUGAACGCGAACCUCUGGCAUCUAACGAUGUGGGGGCCGCAGCAAAAGAGCCCACGGAACUGUUUAUCAAAAACACAGGUCUCUGCUAACACGAAAGUGGAUGUAUAGGGGCUGACUCCUGCCCAAUGCUGGAAGGUUAAGGGGAGCGCUUCACGGUGCGAACUGAAGCCCUAGUCAAUGGCGGCGGUAACUAUAACCGUCCUAAGGUAGCGAAAUUCCUUGUCAGGUAAGUUCUGACCCGCACGAAUGGAGUAAUCAUGUGGGCACUGUCUCAGCGAAGGACUCGGUGAAAGUGCAUUGGCGGUAAAGAUGCCGUCUGUCCGUACCAGGACGAAAAGACCCCAUGGAGCUUUACUACAGCUUUACAUUGAAUAUGGUUUCAACAUGUGUAGCAUAGGUGGGAGACUUUGAAGCAGAUACGCCAGUAUUUGUGGAGUCACCAAGUGAAAUACCACCCUUGUUGUGAUUGUGUUCUCACGCUGACCGUUAUCCGGUUAGCGGACCGUGUAUGGUGGGUAGUUUAACUGGGGCGGUUGCCUCCUAAAGAGUAGCGGAGGCGUUCAAAGGU